ensembl:ncRNA lncRNA:CR44747 long non-coding RNA:CR44747
GAUGACUGGCUAGCUGGCUAGCUAGCUAGCUGUCCCUGGGAAACUCAAAUCCAAUACGAAGAUUGGAGGACUGACCAACACCGGAGGGGAAACCGGGACCGAAACCGAAACUGCAGCAUUGAACCAUUAAGACAAAUGGGCUGGCAUUCAAAGGCAAAGCAAAAUGCUGGCAAACAAAGCAAAGCUCGAAAGACAAAUGAGCCGGUGGCUUGGGGCACUCACACAAUGUGUUG